UGAACGCUGGCGGCGUGCCUAACACAUGCAAGUCGAACGGAACUUUUACGAGCAAGGCUUCGGCCAAGCAAGUUCAAGUUAGUGGCGGACGGGUGAGUAACGCGUGAGCAACCUGCCUUUCAGAGGGGGAUAACGUUUGGAAACGAACGCUAAUACCGCAUAACGUAUGGAUAUCGCAUGGUAAUCAUACCAAAGAUUUUAUCGCUGAGAGAUGGGCUCGCGUCCGAUUAGGUAGUUGGUGGGGUAACGGCUCACCAAGCCGACGAUCGGUAGCCGGACUGAGAGGUUGAACGGCCACAUUGGGACUGAGACACGGCCCAGACUCCUACGGGAGGCAGCAGUGGGGAAUAUUGCACAAUGGGCGCAAGCCUGAAUGCAGCAACGCCGCGUGAGGGAAGACGGUUUUCGGAUUGUAAACCUCUGUCUUUGGUGACGAAGAAGUGACGGUAGCCAAGGAGGAAGCCACGGCUAACUACGUGCCAGCAGCGGC
rnacentral:rRNA from 1 species